GUAGGUGAACCUGCGGAAGGAUCAUUAACACGAAUUUAUUAUCCAAUAUCAAAACCAAACGUGAACUUAUCUUCUCCCUAUAUUUAUCUAUCUAAUAGAUAGAUAUAGGCUAACCUUCAUAUCUAUGAUAUGAACACAAUUCAAUUUUAACCCCUUUAACUUUAACUAGUUUUCAACCUUCAUUCUUAUGAUAUUUGAAGACAACUAACUAAAAGAAAAACUACAAGGUUAUUCGGAAAGAGUCACUCUU
rnacentral:misc_RNA from 1 species